rnacentral:scRNA from 2 species
UGACAUGCCCGACUCUGAUGAUAAAGGCGAUG